rfam:Gossypium hirsutum cultivar TM-1 chromosome 6, whole genome shotgun sequence
AAUCCGCGCAUCGGGCAUUUCUGAAGUAAUUCUUUAAAUCAUUCCCAAGCUUCAAAUAGUGUUUCAUCCUCUACUUGCCGAAAAAAUGUGAUGUCAUUUCUAAGCUU